rnacentral:rRNA from 1 species
GGAGGGUGCAAGCGUUAUCCGGGAAUUAUUGGGGUUUAAAGGGUGCGUAGGCGGGAUGAUAAGUCAGUGGUGAAAUCUUACAGCUUAACUGUAAAACUGCCAUUGAUACUAUCGUUCUUGAAUACAAUUGAAGUGGGCGGAAUGUGUCAUGUAGCGGUGAAAUGCUUAGAUAUGACACAGAACACCGAUUGCGAAGGCAGCUCACUAAGUUGUUAUUGACGCUGAGGCACGAAAGCGUGGGGAGCGAACAGAAUUAGAUACCCUGGUAGUCCACGCCGUAAACGAUGAUUACUCGGUAUUGGCGAUACACUGUCAGUGCCCAAGCGAAAGUUUUAAGUAAUCCACCUGGGAAGUACGUCGGCAACGAUG